CCCAAGCCAAGCCAUCGCAUCCCCUGUGACUUGCACGUAUACACCCAGAUGGCCUGAAGUAACUGAAGAAUCACAAAAGAAGUGAAUAUGCCCUGCCCCACCUUAACUGAUGACAUUCCACCACAAAAGAAGUGUAAAUGGCCAGUCCUUGCCUGAAGUGAUGACAUUACCUUGUGAAAGUCCUUUUCCUGGCUCAUCCUGGCUCAAAAAGCUCCCCCACUGAGCAACUUGUGACCCCCACUCGUGCCCGCCAGAGAACCCCCUUUGACUGUAAUUUUCCUUUACUUACCCAAAUCCUAUAAAACGGCCCCACCCUUAUCUCCCUUCGCUGACUCUCUUUUCGGACUCAGCCUGCCUGCACCCAGGUGAUUAAAAGCUUUAUUGCUCACACAAAGCCUGUUUGGUGGUCUUUUCACACGGGGGUGCAUGAAAUUUGGUGCCGUGACUUGGAUCGGGGGACCUCCCUUGGGAGAUCAAUCCCCUGUCUUCCUGUUCUUUGCUCCGUGAGAAAGAUCCACCUACGACCUCAGGUCCUCAGACCGACCAGCCCAAGGAACAUCUCACCAAUUUUAAAUCAGAUCUUCUCGGCUUAGCAGCUGAAGACUGACACUGCCCAAUGGCCUCGGAGCCCCCUAAACCAUCACGGACGUUGAGCUUGGGGUAACUCCCGCAGUGGAAGGUAUACACCCAGAUGGCCUGAAGUAACUGAAGAAUCACAAAAGAAGUGAAUAUGCCCUGCCCCACCUUAACUGAUGACAUUCCACCACAAAAGAAGUGUAAAUGGCCGGUCCUUGCCUGAAGUGAUGACAUUACCUCGUGAAAGUCCUUUUCCUGGCUCAUCCUGGCUCAAAAAGCACCCCCACUGAGCACCUUGCGACCCCCCCACUCCUGCCUGCCAGAGAACAAACCCCCUUUGACUGUAAUUUUCCUUUACCUACCCAAAUCCUAUAAAACGGCCCCACCCUUAUCUCCCUUCGCUGGCUCUCUUUUCGGACUCAGCCUGCCUGCACCCAGGUGAUUAAAAGCUUUAUUGCUCA